CGGGACGUGGCGCAGCUUGGCAGCGCACCAGUCUGGGGGACUGGGGGUCGCCGGUUCAAAUCCGGCCGUCCCGACUA
rnacentral:tRNA from 1 species